rnacentral:misc_RNA from 1 species
CGACAGUGCGUCCACUGCGUCUCAGUUUAGUAGUGUCCACAGUUUGAUGUCGCCAUCCAUAGCUGACAUUCAUUUUGCAUCCACAGUGGAGCAAGCAGACGACGAGAAAGAAUCCAGUAAAAAAUCGUGCACAAGUACGUUUUUCAAAAUAAUGGAUAUCAGGAUGUUGAAGAACAAGCUUGUGCUCCUUUUCACCUUCAUUUUCUGCUUUGGUUCGGUUGGGACCUGUCUUGGAAUGAUAUUUGUGGCGCCAUUAGCGCGUGACAAGAAUCUCACCAAAGAUGAAAUAGCAAUAACAACCGCGUUAGUCAGUGGGUCGGAGUUUAUUUUUCGAAUUGUUUUGGGAUUUGUUGCUGACAUGAAUAUUGUUGAGAGGUACCGCAUUGUGCAAGUUUCCCUUUUCGGAACCGGUGCUAUGCUAUUUUUGAUUCCUCUUCUGGAGUCCUUUUGGCAUUUUACUAUCUUCAGCGUUUUGUACGGUUUAUUCAGCGGACCACUGAUUUCUAUGUAUUCCCCUGUCUGUAUAGAUUUUGUAGGGAUAGAGCGAUUUCAUCGUGUCAUGGGUAUUUUAAUUUCAUUCCAAGGAAUUCUUCUGGGUGCCAUUGGACCAGCUGCGCAUUAAGAGAUUUGUACGGUUCUUACGUACAGGCAUACCAACUGAUGGCAUCAGUGACAUUACUAGGUGCAACUCUGUUCUUUUUUGUUCCAUGCCUGCGAAAGCAGGUACCAACAACCGAAACUGUUAUAGAAUGAGAUACUAGACUAAGUACAUGUAUUUAAAAUAAAAGCGAUAAUAACG